rnacentral:rRNA from 1 species
CCCGCACAAGCGGUGGAGCAUGUGGUUUAAUUCGAUGCAACGCGAAGAACCUUACCUGGGCUUGACAUCCCGGGAAUCCCCUGGAAACAGGGGAGUGCCCUUCGGGGAACCCGGUGACAGGUGCUGCAUGGCUGUCGUCAGCUCGUGUCGUGAGAUGUUCGGUUAAGUCCGCUAACGAGCGCAACCCUCGCUGUGUGUUACAAGUGUCACACAGGACCGCCGGUCUUAAGCCGGAGGAAGGUGGGGAUGACGUCAAGUCAGCAUGGCCUUUAUGUCCAGGGCUACACACACGCUACAAUGGUCAGCACAAUAGGUAGCCAAGCCGCGAGGUGGAGCCAAUCCUCAAAGCUGGCCUCAGUUCAGAUCGCAGGCUGCAACCCGCCUGCGUGAAGCCGGAGUUGCUAGUAACCGCAGGUCAGCUAUACUGCGGUGAAUACGUUCCCGGGGCUU